GGUGAGUAAUGUAUAGGAAUCUACCUAGUAGUACGGAAUAAUUGUUGGAAACGGCAACUAAUACCGUAUACGCCCUACGGGGGAAAAAUUUAUUGCUAUUAGAUGAGCCUAUAUUAGAUUAGUUAGUUGGUGAGGUAAAGGCUUACCAAGACAAUGAUCUAUAGCUGAUCUGAGAGGAUGAUCAGCCACACUGGAACUGAGAUACGGUCCAGACUCCUACGGGAGGCAGCAGUGGGGAAUAUUGGACAAUGGGCGAAAGCCUGAUCCAGCCAUGCCGCAUGAGUGAAGAAGGCCUUCGGGUUGUAAAGCUCUUUUAGUGAGGAAGAUAAUGACGGUACUCACAGAAGAAGUCCUGGCUAACUCCGUGCCAGCAGCCGCGGUAAUACGGAGAGGGCUAGCGUUAUUCGGAAUCAUUGGGCGUAAAGGGCGCGUAGGCGGGUUAGUAAGUUAAAAGUGAAAUCCCAAGGCUCAACCUUGGAACUGCUUUUAAAACUGCUAGUCUAGAGAUUGAAAGANGAUAGAGGAAUUCCUAGUGUAGAGAUGAAAUUCGUAAAUAUU
rnacentral:rRNA from 2 species